rnacentral:tRNA from 1 species
GUUGCGAAGGCCGAGUGGUUAAGCCGUUGGACUUGAGAUCAAAUGGGAUCUUCCCGCGCAGGCUCGAAUCCUCCCCGCAACG